GGAUGCGAUCAUACCAGCACUAAUGCACCGGAUCCCAUCAGAACUCCGAAGUUAAGCGUGCUUGGGCGAGAGUAGUACUAGGAUGGGUAACCCCUGGGAAGUCCUCGUGUUGCAUCCC
rnacentral:rRNA from 1 species